AUCUCCCAACCCUUUGAUUUAUCGACCCCAUUCUGCCUCGGGGGCGACCCGGUCCUCGCGGCCGCGGUCCCCCCGGUGGCGACCUAUAACCCUGCAUCAAUUGUCGUCUGAUAUUGAUAUUAAAUUCAAUUAAAACUUUCAACAACGGAUCUCUUGGUUCUGGCAUCGAUGAAGAACGCAGCGAAAUGCGAUAAGUAAUGUGAAUUGCAGAAUUCAGUGAAUCAUCGAAUCUUUGAACGCACAUUGCGCCCCCUGGCAUUCCGGGGGGCAUGCCUGUUCGAGCGUCAUUACACCAAUCAAGCCUGGCUUGGUAUUGGGCGACGGGGCCGUCACACGCCCCGCGCCCCAAUGACUCCCCGGCGGGACGGACUGUAUCUCAGCGUUGUGCAAAUGUCGCUGGCGAUUUACGGGACGGCCGUGCCGUGAAAACCUCAUUUUAUCAGGUUGACCUCGGAUCAGGUAGG
rnacentral:rRNA from 1 species